ensembl:snRNA U2 U2 spliceosomal RNA
AUUGCUUCUCGGCCUUUUGGCUAAGAUCAAGUGUAGAAUUUUCCUUCCUGAGAGGAAGAGAUCGUCCAUCCCAGGGUGAUGUCAUUAAGAACGUACCUUUCCAGUUUGUUUGUGUCUUCUGCUCCAGAUCAUCCCUGAGCCACGUGGACAUUGCUUUUGAACUUGCUGAAUGCCAACAUCAGAAAGCUGCUCUCU